CCUACGGGAGGCAGCAGUGAGGAAUAUUGGUCAAUGGGCGAGAGUCUGAACCAGCCACGUCGCGUGAAGGAUGACGGCUCUAUGGUUUGUAAACUUCUUUUAUAUGGGGAUAAAGUUGGGCACGUGUACUCUUUUGUAUGUACCCUAUGAAUAAGGAUCGGCUAACUCCGUGCCAGCAGCCGCGGUAAUCCGGAGGAUCCGAGCGUUAUCCGGAUUUAUUGGGUUUAAAGGGUGCGUAGGUGGUUUGUUAAGUCAGGUGUGAAAGUUUGUGGCUUAACCAUAAAAUUGCCGUUGAAACUGGUUGACUUGAGGAGAGUAGAGGGAGGCGGAAUGCGAGGUGUAGCGGUGAAAUGCAU
rnacentral:rRNA from 1 species